rnacentral:rRNA from 1 species
AGUGAACGCUGGCGGUAGGCCUAACACAUGCAAGUCGAACGGCAGCACAGUAAGAGCUUGCUCUUACGGGUGGCGAGUGGCGGACGGGUGAGGAAUACAUCGGAAUCUACUUUUUCGUGGGGGAUCACGUAGGGAAACUUACGCUAAUACCGCAUACGACCUACGGGUGAAAGCAGGGGAUCUUCGGACCUUGCGCGAUUGAAUGAGCCGAUGUCGGAUUAGCUAGUUGGCGGGGUAAAGGCCCACCAAGGCGACGAUCCGUAGCUGGUCUGAGAGGAUGAUCGGCCACACUGGAGCUGAGACACGGUCCAGAGUCCUACGGGAGGCAGCAGUGGGGAAUAUUGGACAAUGGGCGCAAGCCUGAUCCAGCCAUACCGCGUGGGUGAAGAAGGCCUUCGGGUUGUAAAGCCCUUUUGUUGGGAAAGAAAAGCAGCAGGUUAAUACCCCGCUGUUCUGACGGUACCCAAAGAAUAAGCACCGGCUAACUUCGUG